GACGAACGCUGGCGGCGUGCCUAAUACAUGCAAGUAGAACGCUGAAGGAGGAGCUUGCUCUUCUGGAUGAGUUGCGAACGGGUGAGUAACGCGUAGGUAACCUGCCUGGUAGCGGGGGAUAACUAUUGGAAACGAUAGCUAAUACCGCAUAACAGCAGAUGUUGCAUGACAUUUACUUAAAAGGUGCAAUUGCAUCACUACCAGAUGGACCUGCGUCGUAUUAGCUAGUUGGUGGGGUAACGGCUCACCAAGGCGACGAUACAUAGCCGACCUGAGAGGGGGGUCGGCCACACUGGGACUGAGACACGGCCCAGACUCCUACGGGAGGCAGCAGUAGGGAAUCUUCGGCAAUGGACGGAAGUCUGACCGAGCAACGCCGCGUGAGUGAAGAAGGUUUUCGGAUCGUAAAGCUCUGUUGUAAGAGAAGAACGAGUGUGAGAGUGGAAAGUUCACACUGUGACGGUAUCUUACCAGAAAGGGACGGCUAACUACGUG
rnacentral:rRNA from 1 species